rnacentral:rRNA from 1 species
CCUACGGGUGGCUGCAGUGAGGAAUAUUGCACAAUGGGGGAAACCCUGAUGCAGCGACGCCGCGUGAGUGAAGAAGUAUCUCGGUACGUAAAGCUCUAUCUGCAGGGAAGAUAAUGACGGUACCUGACCAAGAAGCCCCGGCUAACUACGUGCCAGCAGCCGCGGUAAUACGUAGGGGGCAAGCGUUAUCCGGAUUUACUGGGUGUAAAGGGAGCGUAGUCGGGAGGACAAGUCUGGAGUGAAAUCCCGGGGCUUAACCCCGGAACUGCUUUGGAAACUGUGCGGCUGGAGUGCAGGAGGGGUAAGCGGAAUGCGUGGUGUAGCGGUGAAAUGCGUAGAUAUUAGGAAGAACUCCGAUGGCGAAGGCAGCUUACUGGACUGUAACUGACGUUGAGGCUCGAAAGCGUGGGGAGCAAACAGGAUUAGAUACCCGGGUAGUC